AGUGAAAGAAACAUCAUGCUUACAGCUGUCUACUAUAUUGAGCACAAUAAUGUGCUUUGUGACCUUGACUCAAAGUAGUUUCCAUGGUUAGUGAGGUAGAGUGAAACCAAAAGGGAAUGGAAGGUGAAGAAAUGGAUUUAACAUGUGCAGAAAACUUCAGAAGAAGCAGAUGACGCACUCAAGGGGAUAAUGUUUUUAAUGUAACGAAUGGAACAAAAGAAUUAUUGCAGAGGUGAGGUCAAGGUGAAAGGAACCAAAGAGGACAUGAUGAAGCACCCAGAUCCAGCAAGAAUAGAAAGUCAUUACCUCUCCUUUGCUUGACAUGACAAAUAAAAAAAAAAAAAGACACAUAAUACCAGAACAUGAUAAGAAGUAAGAGCUAUGAUCACAGCAGAAGGGUCACUCAACAACAUCUGAAAUUAUAAGGAGAAGGAUAUACCUACUGCCAAGACCUAGCAGGAAGAUAAAAGGGGAGAAUACUUGGGCUACUUUUUCUAUUCAAACAACAAUUUCAUAGCUACUGCCAAGGCCUAGCAGGAAGAUAAAAGGGGAAAAUACUCUGGCUACUUUUUCCAUUCAAACAGCAAUCUCCCUCCUCCUCUCCCUCCUCUGUCUAGAAAUCCCCAGUGUCUCUUGUUUCCAUCUUUAUAUUUAUGUGUAUGCAUGUUUAGCUCCCGCUUGCAAGUAAGGAAAAACAUCCAUUGGGUAUUAUGCUCACUACGUGGGGGAUAGGAUCAUUUGUAUCCCAAACUUCAGUGUCACACAAUAUACCUACAAACCUGCACAUAUACCCUUUAAUCUAUAAUAAAAGUUGAAAUUAUUAAAAAA
rnacentral:lncRNA from 1 species